rnacentral:rRNA from 1 species
AUUGAACGCUGGCGGCAUGCCUUACACAUGCAAGUCGAACGGCAGCACGGGAGCAAUCCUGGUGGCGAGUGGCGAACGGGUGAGUAAUAUAUCGGAACGUGCCCAGUCGUGGGGAUAACGUAGCGAAAGCUACGCUAAUACCGCAUACGAUCUAUGGAUGAAAGCGGGGGAUCGCAAGACCUCGCGCGAUUGGAGCGGCCGAUAUCAGAUUAGGUAGUUGGUGAGGUAAAGGCUCACCAAGCCGACGAUCUGUAGCUGGUCUGAGAGGACGACCAGCCACACUGGGACUGAGACACGGCCCAGACUCCUACGGGAGGCAGCAGUGGGGAAUUUUUGGGACAAUAGGGCGGCAAGCCUGAUCCAGCAAUAGCCGCGUGCAGGAGUGAAGG